rnacentral:rRNA from 1 species
UACGUAGGGAGCGAGCGUUGUCCGGAUUUACUGGGUGUAAAGGGUGCGUAGGCGGGUCUGCAAGUCAGACGUGAAAUACCGGGGCUUAACUCCGGGGCUGCGUUUGAAACUGUAGAUCUUGAGUGAAGUAGAGGUAAGCGGAAUUCCUAGUGUAGCGGUGAAAUGCGUAGAUAUUAGGAGGAACACCAGUGGCGAAGGCGGCUUACUGGGCUUUAACUGACGCUGAGGCACGAAAGCGUGGGGAG